rnacentral:rRNA from 1 species
UACGUAGGUCCCGAGCGUUGUCCGGAUUUAUUGGGCGUAAAGCGAGCGCAGGUGGUUUAUUAAGUCUGGUGUAAAAGGCAGUGGCUCAACCAUUGUAUGCAUUGGAAACUGGUAGGCUUGAGUGCAGGAGAGGAGAGUGGAAUUCCAUGUGUAGCGGUGAAAUGCGUAGAUAUAUGGAGGGACACCGGUGGCGAAAGCGGCUCUCUGGCCUGUAACUGACACUGAGGCUCGAAAGCGUGGGGAGCAAACAGG